GAGUUAUUAAUGAAACAUCUAGUAAAAGAAAAACCCUCAGAGUAUCUUCGUCAUUGUUGUCAUCCUCAGUGUUUCCCUUAGCUUCAUAGAACCAUUUAAUAAUUCAAACUUAUAGCGCAUCGCAACAUCGCGACUCACUUUAAUAUUUGAUAAGGGACAAUUUAUGUCUACUAAAACAACUGGCGUAGUAAAAUGGUUUAACGAAGAGAAAGGUUUCGGUUUCCUAACUCAAGACAACGGCGGUGCUGACGUAUUCGUUCACUUCCGUGCUAUCGCUUCUGAAGGUUUCAAGACUCUAGCUGAAGGCCAAAAAGUGUCUUUCGAAGUAGAGCAAGGCCAAAAAGGUCUUCAAGCUGCAAACGUUGUAGCUAUCUAAGAU
rnacentral:sRNA from 1 species